rnacentral:lncRNA from 1 species
UUUUUUUUUUUUUUGGUAAAGAGUGCUGUUUGGAAACAUGCUGACAUGCUGUUUGAAUUCAAACCACUCUAAGUGUGGAUGUAUGGGAACAUUUAUAAAAUGCUCUGAAACCUCUUGCUCUGGCCACAAUAAGGAUCAAGAUCUUGAACUAGAAACCAAGGGUUGAGCUGUUUAAUCAUCUCCUUAAAGCUCAAGAGUGGCUCAUCCUGACAAGAAGAAAAUCAAGCAAUGGUGGCAGGAGGCAUGUGUGGAUGAGCAAAGAGAUCAUGACUAAGUUCUGACAUAAAAAGGAAACGCACAAAAGGUGGAAGCAGGGGUAAGUAGCCCAGGAGGACGUCUUUCUGGUGACAGUGUCCUUCAGCAAUCCCAGGCCCAUGAGCAAGGGGCCCAAAAGUGCUGAGGAAACUGGAUAAUUUAAUUUAAAGGCCACUCUUUAAAAGAUAACACUGAUCAAGAGAGGUUCCCGAGGCCUGGAAGAAAGCCAAAAGCCACGCCUAGCUUCAACAGGACAAGAAGCAUCUGGGGAAGUAGAAUCUAGUCAGUCUCACGUGGAGUCCUGUGCCAGCAUGGGGGCUGGAAUAAGGUGAUCUUUAAGGUUCCUUCUAAUUCAAACCAUUCUAUGAUUCCAUCUAUGGAAAUGUACAAAACCUGACUGGACCCGGUCCUGGAUAACCAGGUAUAGCUGACCCACCUUGACUAACAGGAGGUUGAACUAGAUGAUUUCCAGAGGUCACUUCUAUCCUCCACAUUCCUGUGAUGAUUCUGUGAAUCACUACAGUAGUUCCUGGUGUGCUGCAUGCUCUUGGUUCUUGUGUGUUUGGCUGAUUUUUCCCUGAGGAAAUUAAUUAUUGGUGUAAUUAAUUGCACUGAAUGCAUGUGCCUCUGAGGAUGAGGUGGUUGUGGAGAAACCUGAACUUAAAAAAUACUCAGAAGAAUUGUCCAUUUAAAAAAAUAGAGGAUCUGGGAAUCCCAUUCAUGACUGUGAGGUUUCAUACACAUGCUUUCAGCAGAGUAAGGAAGGUCCAGGGAGAUGGAAGCUGACAAAGUGCACAGGGCAGGGUCAGAUGAGAAGUGGGAGAAGAGUGACCUAUGACAGUGCUGAGUACAGCACACAACAACUUCAGUUUUAUUUCCCACUCUAUGAAAACCAAUGCCACAAAGUCUGGGCAGUCUGGGUGGUGGUGGUAAAAUUGAACCCCUAAGACUGCAUCAAAACAGGGCACCAAGCAUGGAUAAAUAAAUCAGAGUCAGUAUUUUGAAAUUGUGCACACAGAAAAUGGAGAACACACACUUAAUUACUGCCCGGGAGAAGCUGGAUUUACAUGACCACCCAGGAACUCUGAAGCACAGACAGUUCUCCAGGGCAGCAGUCCACAAGCUGAACCAUGAGCCUGUCCUUUCUCUAGCUGUGUUCCCAGUCUCCUUCAUAGCGUGGUCCCAGUAUAUUUUAUGCACUAAGGCAGGAUGCCAUUAAGAAAAAAAUAUGUGACCCUGUAAUUAAUGUCUGUAUCACAAAAGAAGAUUAGAGAAACAUUUGUCAAGAAUCAUCUAGGAAUAAUUGUUCCUGCCUUGGGAGAAAGAGAUGGACUGGAGCCCCCAGAUGGCUCCUUGAGGUCCCUUCCAGGCCUCUUUUCCACAAAGUCAUACAUGCCAAAAUUAAGCCAAAUUAGGUUUGUGGACAUUGUUUUAAUUCCAGUUUUCUGUAACUUCUGAAUGCUUGAUUUCAGAGCCAUUUUGGUACAGACUACAGUAUCCUGCUUUUUAGGAUACUGGUCAGUUUGUUUUAAAGCCAACCCAGCUUAGCAAGGAUGGCAUGAUAUGCACAUUCACCCCUUGUAAGAGCCUCCUGACAAAGACCUCUUCCAGGGACUGGCAGAGAAAACCAAGGUGACUGUGACCUCUCAAACUAACAAAGGUUAGGGUGGCAGGAAGAGGGGAAGCACCAGAAACUUGCCUUUCAGAUCCACAUGCUGGGAGCAGAUAAGACAAAAAUUUAAGGUUGCUUCGGUUCCAUCCCGAACUCUAUAUAUAAACAAUAUGUACUACCAGGAGAUUUUUGCUUCUUGCCAUUCAUGUUCUCUCCAAUCCUAUUCUUUCUUCAGACCCUUGAAAGCAAACAGCUCCUUUGCUAUAUCUUCUGCUCCCUGCUCCACCACUGUCAAGUUAGGGUCUUCCCUAACUUCCCUCUUCCCACUCUUGCCUCCACUAGUUAAAUCCCACCUCAAAUCAUGCCCAAACCCUAAUUCUGUCCCCCUCCCAGUCCCCUGGCUUGUCCUGCCAUCACAUUUUUUUUUUUCUUAUGCUAUUUUCCCUACUUCCUCACCUUCUUUUUUUGCCCAACAGCUGCUCCCAAACCCUGAAUCCUUGGUGGCUUAAUCCUUCUCUCUGUUCUCACUGCUGUUCAUUGUUAAUGCAGAAAAUCAGCCUCCCCCCAUUCCUGCCUGUGCCCCAGUCACACUAUCUUUCCCUCUUUCACCACCUCUUCCCCCAACUAUUCCAGCCCCAGUCACAGCAGAUUCUUCAAACAGAUACAUCUCUUUCCUCCCACAUCUGGCUAUCACAGCCACUCCUCCUGCCAUGCUGCCUCCCAGCCAGUGUGGUGGUCAUCACCUAAUGCGAUGAACCCCACUUUGCUCUCAGCUCAGUGCAGCCUCCCACUGCAAUGCCUGGCAGGUGGUGGGGCCUGGCCACCACCUGUGCACAGCCCAGGUGAUGAGUGCUCCAGAGCUGCAAGGACAUAGAAUAUACUCAGCCAGGACUUCUCAGGGAUGAUUUGGGAUGACUUUUUGUCCAGUAAGUGCUAAUAAGCCUCCACAGACCUAUGUGGUCUAUGAUUUUUCAAAGUCAUAAAGUGUGGUCCAGUUUGGAUAGCUUUUGUCAAGACCAUAAAAUCUAGAUUUCCAGUUUGUAUGGUGUUAAGUGUCUCAGACAAAAAACUAAGACAUGCAUGAAAUGGGACCGAUGCAUUUUUUUAGCUUUCUUCUUGUUAAUGUCCUGAACCACUUUCAUUUUAACUUUUCAUCACUCUGAAAAUCAUAAGCAAGUGAAUCCAAGAUAUUUUAAUAAGAAAUGCUGUGCAGCCUUAAUAUGCAGGAGAUGUUAUGCACCCCUAUGCAUAGGAAUGUUAAUUGUUAGAUAAUGCAAUCAUAAAGUAUUUCACUUUUUUCACCUUUGUUUUUCUCAUUCCUAUUCUCAUCAAUGAUCAAAAUCUGCUAAUUGCUGCAUACUCCUGGCCGCUCAUAUUUUACUCUUCAUUGGAGACCUUUUUGCUGCAGGGCAAAUUUGUCAUUAGCUGAAACAUUUCCUGAAUUAAUUUAUUCAAUUGGUGACUGCUGAGUCAUAAAAAUAGUGGUAUUAUACUGAGGACUUAAGUCAUAGGCAGUGUUAAAGGAGCAAUCUGCUUGAGCAGUGGAAUUAAUCUGAGCAAUAUCCUUUUCAGCACAGUGUCAUGAACUUCACUUACACUGAUCAGGUUUUUUUAACAAAGAUGAUAUUCAGGUUUAUUAAAGGUAUUUCUCUUAUCCUGGGCUUGGGCAUGCUUUCUAAGAUGCUGGGGGAAAAAAAGCCACAAGGUUUAUGUCAAAAGUGGAAGUCACUGUGCUCUUUCCCACAGACACAGACAUCAGCAGAACAGCUCUUGCUGCUUGAAUGGCAUGAGAAAAUCGAUUUCUUACAUAUGUUUUGGUCAGCCCAGCAUUUCCUUUAUACUCCACAGGUAGGUUGCAAACGUGCAAAUUCAAGGAGACAGUGGAAAUCAGGCAUGUUGUGGCAGAACAAAGCUGUGACCCAUUCCUUCAUCUGCCACCCUAAGGGAAGGAAGAUCUUCAGAAGUCAAUGUCUCAUUUAUGACUGUGCAUUAGAACAGCCCUAAACUGCUCAUGGAGAGAAAUUAUUUUACAAUAAUCCUGUAAAAGGAGAGAGAGAGAAUCUCUGUAGCUCAGCUUUUGGCUGCACAGAACUUGGCACCAAUCUCGAAAUCCAUUGAAUAACUGUUGAAAGUAUAUUGUUCCUAGAUUUCCAGCUGUACUGGAAGGUAAGUGGUCAGUCAGUGCAAAACCUACCCGACCUCCUGCUGCUGCUGCAAGAUUGAUGCUGUCUGGACCAGGGGGAGGAUGGCCCAAUUCCAUAAAAUAAAUAGGCCCCUGCUGUGUCCAGCAUGGAGGUGUCAUCUCUCCUUGUAGGAGUGUGGCCCCCCUGCAGCCCAGGGUCUGAUUGUGUUGCAGGACACUAAUUUUUCCCAGUGGAAAGCUGCAGGACGAUUUUUUUAUUUAAGUGCUUUACUAGACAUACCUCACAUGCUUGUGGGCCUGUUUCUAAUGCUGUCAUUAUCUAGAAAAAUCUUUGCCUCGUAGUAGAGAUCACAUACUUGCUGAUGGGGAGCAGGGUUCUUUUCUAUUUCUAAUUGAUGACUGUCAAAUUCCUAUUUUUCCAGAUCGUGGGAUGAUCCUGAGAAAGUGGGAUGUUUUUCCUCUGUGUAAAGACACAAAUAUAUGCAUGAACAUGCACAGAAAUAUUAUUCAAUUCACUAAAACCAGCUGUUAUAAACAAAACACCCACAUAUAGCAACUACUCAACAGCAAAAACAUUGGUCUCCCCUGUUGUCUGAACUCCAGACUGUUGUCUGAACUCCUUCUCCAUCUUCUCUGGCCUCUCACUCACUUUUUCAAGAGGGCAUUUUGGAUUUUCACUGCCAUCCAAAGCCUGCUGUUUAAAGAAGUUAAAAAGGUUAAAAGGACUCACCUGGGAGCAUCAGAUCUUGUUUUCCUGUUCUUUCAUAGGUCCUACUGGUCACUCAGGCCUUGCUGGUGAAACACUCAGAUCCAGUUUUGCAAACAGAUAGUGAAGAAAUCUUGAUGUAACUCAAGGAGAUGGCACUUGAAUGCCAGAUGCCAGUGAGUGACAGAAGAGACCAUGGUUUUUCUUUCUGAUAGGAGCAUAACAGUCAGUAGAAGAGACAAUGCUGUUGACCCCCAAGUUUCCUCCUUGAGUAAAUUAGACCUCAUGUCAUCCUUGGAUACAUUUUGUUGUUCUUGGGUUUGUCUGCUUUAAAGGCUUAAUUUAGAUGCCCUCAGGCAGCUGUAGCUGAAGGCAGUAGGGGCUGGGAGCUUUACUCCACGAGAAGGCAGUGAGUAUUUAGUCCAAAGGUGGUGUACUGAGGCACAGCAUGUACCCAGUAAUGCUGGGUUUCCAGGGAAGAGAGAGCCUGUCUCCCCCACUGACUGCAGCACACUCCUAUCAGUUAUUUGCAGGACCAGGAAAAAGGCCUCACCAUUGGAGGGUUGUGAAGAAUGGACUGCAGAAGCAGGAGAGCUCUAAAUGUGUUUUUGUUACUGGCAUGAAAAAGGCUGUAAUAGCAAGGAAAUUAACUGAUACUUGCCAAAGUGUAGUUCAGCAUCAAUGUAAGAUUCACCUGUCAGAGAAAAGGAAGUCUUUAUCCACCUCUAUUUGAGGGACUGUUAAAAAAUACCCAAUCAAAACCCAGCUGCUUUCAAACAGGGUUUGAAUUUGCUGUAAUCAUGUAUGGAGUAUCCCACUGUUCAUGGAUCUAGCACUAGCAUUUGCAGCCUAGCACUGCUGUAAAUUCAAGGUGUGAUUGCAUCAGCUAAUAUUAUUCCUGCCGUUCUCUUUGGUUUGAAAUAUCACCCAACUCAUUUGGGUUAGAUAUGAGGUGCAAUUGCCUGGAAACCAGUGCACAACUCCAGAAGGGUGCCUUGCUCAUUAUAUUCACCUUUUCUAAUAAAAUAUCUAUGCUGUUCCUAUGUUGGAUCACGUCAUCAGGACACUGCAGAGGGGUGUGCUUUCAUUUUCCCCUUCUGUGAACCCCUUGAGAGGUACCAAGGGCUUUCUAAGGAACUCAGGUCCUUAUGGAUUUUCUAAGCCAUGGGAAACUCCAAGAAAUAAAAGCUCUUCAUGGUUUCUGCACUCACCGGGCAGAGGUGCAUCUCUCAGCAAUUGCAGGAGGUGUUGAAAGGAAACAUGAAUGGACAGCCCUUCUGUGAGAUUAUUAACAUACUGGUGGUAAAUCUAGGACCCAGUGGGUACUGGGAACCCAGGGCCAAUGCAGAGUUGCAGAGAAAAUGUCAGCUUCCCGAUGACCCUCAGGAAUUUUGCCUGCUUCUAGCUUGCCUUUCUGAUGUUCUAACUCCCAAUGAGUAUUUCUUCUCUCUUUUCAAAGGCGAGCAUGAUCCUGUCCCAGCACCCUGGGCCUCCUGUGCUGCUGGAGGCAGGGAACAGUGUAUACAGCCAUCCUCACAUGGCUGCUAAGGGAAGGAUAUGACUUGGUAGCAAUAAAACCAGGGCUCUUCCUCAAAGCCUUCCUGCAGACUGAAAGAGGGGUAGGUAUGAGCUGCUAGAGGGAACUAAAAAUAGACAGUGUCUUUUCUGAGUAGACCAUGGAUCCUGGGAAGAAGAGGCCACAUUCUUCAUCAGCAUGUAAGAGAGUAGGUUGGAGAAUGGGAAGGAAGCACAGCUACUAACUAGAAGAUAGCACUGGCAUGAGAACAAGUAGACAAAAAUAGGCUAUGAAAAACUGUGGGCUGCAAAUCAGAAACAAGUUUCCUUCUGUCAAAGUGAAGUUCUUGAAUAACCUGCCAAGAAAAUUCACAAUGACUUAAGAUGGACUGUGAUAAAUUAACAAGAGGGACUUUAUGACUCACUGUUUGUCAUUGCUGGGAAAUUUGAUGAUGACUAGGAGAUCCCUUCUAGCCCCACAUUCCUGCUGGUAUGAUAACAGAGGAAUCUGUGUAGGGUGCAAUAAAUGCUGAAUCACUGAGUGCUUUAUCUAGCUGCCUGGCGGGACAAAGUCCCUUGUACCCAUCCUGUCUGCAAGAACUUCCAGGACCAAAAAAAAAAAAAAAAAAAAAAAA